CCUACGGGAGGCAGCAGUGGGGAAUAUUGCACAAUGGGGGAAACCCUGAUGCAGCGACGCCGCGUGAGUGAAGAAGUAAUUCGUUAUGUAAAGCUCUAUCAGCAGGGAAGAAAAUGACGGUACCUGAGUAAGAAGCCCCGGCUAACUACGUGCCAGCAGCCGCGGUAAUACGUAGGGGGCAAGCGUUAUCCGGAUUUACUGGGGGUAAGGGUAGCGUUGAUGGCGGUGCAAGUCUGGGGUGAAAGGGGGGGGUCAACCCCCUGGAUGGUCUGGAAACCGUACGGCGGGAGUGCAGGAGAGGUAAGUGGAAUUCCUAGUGUAGCGGUGAAAUGCGUAGAUAUUAGGAGGAACACCAGUGGCGAAGGCGGCUUACUGGACUGUAACUGACGUUGAGGCUCGAAAGCGUGGGGAGCAAACAGGAUGAGAUACCCUUGUAGUC
rnacentral:rRNA from 1 species